rnacentral:misc_RNA from 1 species
CAGCAGGAAAAUCGUCAUACACUAUCACCUGGCCCGCGUAAAAUAUUGUCAGUUGGGCAGUUCCAGGUUCUUCUCUGGAGGAUUUCCUCAAAUCUGCAGGCUUGUUAGCAAUGGAGUCCUCCUCGAUAGGAUUUGGAGAAGCAAAACCAACAAAUUGUGGGAAAAAAUCCAUGGGUUUUAUAUUUGCAGAUAGCACAGAGUUUUGCCUUGAAAUCUCAGCAGAAAUUUCAAUGUUAGACAGUAGAUUCAAUGUUGUUGUUGGUGGCCUAGAUGCUUCAGGACCU